rnacentral:rRNA from 1 species
GACGAACGCUGGCGGCGUGCCUAAUACAUGCAAGUAGGACGCAGUUGCGAACGGGUGAGUAACGCGUAGGUAACUACCUAUUAGAGGGGGAUAACUAUUGGAAACGAUAGCUAAUACCGCAUACUAGUAGAUGGACCUUCGUUGUAUUAGGUAGUAGGUAGGGUAAUGGCCUACCUGGGCAACGAUACAUAGCCGACCGGAGGGGGAGGUCGGCCAAACUGGGACUGGGACACGGCCCAGACUCCUACGGGAGGCAGGAGGAGGGAAGCUUCGGCAAUGGGGGGAAACCUGACCGAGCAACGCCGCGGGAGUGAAGAAGGUUUUCGGAUCGUAAAGCUCUGUUGUUAAGGAAGCGGUACUUAACCAGAAAGGGACGGCUAACUACGUGCCAGCAGCCGCGGUAAUUC